GUCGGGAUAGCUCAGCUGGUAGAGCAGAGGACUAG
rnacentral:tRNA from 1 species